GCCCUGAUCAACUAGACCUGACCAUCUUUGGAGUUUUCUCUCAAAUUUAUUGAUGUGCUGAUGUGGCAGUGUAAAUUGUGCCAGAAGGUGGUGUCAACAAGGACGCGUUUGUUUAGGCACUACAAGUUAGUUCAUGUUUCCAGACCAUUAUAUCCAUGUAUAUAUUUGGAUUGCCCGUGUACUUUCAAGACUUUUAAAACUCUUUAUAGCCAUACAAGCAGAGUACAUCCACACAAAAAACACAUAACUGUUGCAACAUUUAGCUGCCAUCUGUGUACAUUUAGUGGUCUUGCUACAGAAAAAGAGUAUUUUUCUCAUAUUAACACUCAUCUAAAAAGUAGUGAGACAGUGCAUUGUAUGUUUAAGGGUUGCUCUUACUAAACAAAUAUCUAUGGUACAUUCAAGUCGCAUAAAACCCGGAAGCACACGCCAUACACCUUAGAAGACUUUAAACCAGGGAUUGUGAACACCAUUGAAAGCCAAACCUCAGCUUGUGUUGCUGAAAGAAAGAUGGAGAAAACUUUUCCACACAGGAGACAAGAAAUCGUUCGAGACAUGCCCUUCAUUGCAGAUUUCAAAAGUAGAUGGCCUGCACUCUUUUCUCAUCGAGAGAUUAAUGCAGAGUUCAGACGAAUCACCACAAUGCCAUUGGCCUCAAAGUUCAUGUCACAGCUGGAUCUUUAUGCUCCUAAACUGAUGAAAAUCUUUAGAAAGAAGGGAGGAAAACCUGGACGGAAGAUAACAGAAAUCAUGACAGGAAUUAAUGAGAGAGACUCCAUUGACCAAAGAAGAUGUUGUACCCUUGAAGGCCCUUUCUGUUUAUCUGAAUGAAGAUCCAAGCAACAUGAUAAAAGAAUAUGUAAAUAUUGAUUUCCUUAAUGCCCAGCAACACAUGCCAAAGACCUCUAUUGGCAUUUAUGCCAUCCUGCAUGAAGGGGAUGAUGGCGGCAAGGAAGAUCCAGAGGAUGUGGGAAUCAUCAUUGAGGGAGUCUCUGUACUGCAGGAUCUUCGUGAGGUUGCCACUGCUUUCCCUUUGCUCUUUGGACUGAUCAACUUGAACUACCCACGGGAUCUCAAGUACACUUUUGAAUUUUACCAAAAGGUGUUGAUGGAGCUUGAUAACAAAAAAAUGUCAAACAAAAUCCAAAUUCUAAAAAACAAGCUUCUUGAGUAGAUUAGCUGACCAUAUUUUACAAAAAUUUAUGUAUUUAUUUUUUGGUGAUCUCAGAUGAGCAGUAAGCCAAGUGUAAACAAUCAAAUUUAAAUUUCCAAAUCAGGAUUACUGAAAACAUUUUUGAAAUGCUUUACUUACUUUUUGAUUAAAAAACAACUUUAUUUUAUUUAAAAUAUUCUUUGCUAAAAAGGAACACGUUAAGUAGACUUUAGUACAUUCCAAUAAGUUCAAUGUAUUAUUUUUUUAAGUUUCAAAUUUGCUCGUUAAAGUUCAUUAUUGCAAAUUGCAAGUCUGUGAUGAUUUUUUACAAUUUUAGUCAAUACAUUAAUACACUUGUUCACAAUGUUCAAAGAUGGUUUCCAGAAUGCUACUGCAAAAAUGUUCAAAUGAAGUGUAUUAUUGAUGAAAGUUUGAAAAUAUCUGCCUAUUUUGCAGAUAUUCAUAAACAUUCACAAUAUCUCAAAUUUGAUAUUAAUAUCAAUAUUUAUAUUUUUAGUAGGUGCUACUUUGCACCAUAUGUGUUGGUUUGGGACAAAAUGUUGUCCUUUUCAUACAUAUUUUAUUUACUUUUUUCACAAUCUUAUCUGUUGUUUGCUAAGUUAAUUUUUCAAACAAGGACAGCUAUUUUAGAAAGGUUAUCUUAUGUUUUAAGAAUAGACCCUAUUCACUUAAAGAGGACUGCCCUAAAGAGGC